GGGGCGGGGGAAACCUGUUCGCGCAGCUUUGAGAGAUGCCCGCCGGCAAGGUGUCCCGUUUCGUGGGCGAGCACGCCGAUGAUCUGGUUGGGUGUUUCAGAUUCUCGCAAUGCCCCGUAGUUCACGAAAAUGCGGCGUCCGUCCGCGACGAAGGCGUUGAACGUCGGAUCGUUGAUGAUGACGACCUGAAUGUUCUGCUUCUCGAGACCGGCGACCCGCAGGAUC
rnacentral:misc_RNA from 1 species